GAUUUCAGGCAGCAGAAUUGGCCCCCAGGAGGGACUCUGUGCCUGCUCUCCCGUGGCUCCAAGGGAUCUCUGGCCCUUCACGCCGGCACCGAGAUUUUCUCGGGAAGGGCCUCAGAUCCCCGGACCAGUCUGGGACACAGGCAAGAUCCCCCUGCAGUUUGGGACCAAAUUGGCCCCUGGAGGGACAGUGCUGUUGGUGCCCCCGGGUUGGGGCACCCCGAGGACUCCAGCGCGCACCGAAAGGAUUAUUCGGGGAGAUCCUCGGGGUGCCCGGCCCUGGGGAGCUCAAAGCAAGGUCCCUGCCAUGGAUUCAGGCAUUGCUGAGAGUAUCCCAGGGGUCCCUGUCCCUGCUGGACAUGGAGCUCUCUACUGGGCUGGAAUUGGGUGCUAAAAGUGGUGCUCCAAGUGCCAAAACAGUGUGGGAUUGGGAUUAAGAAAUGAGCAGUGAGGGUCCAAUUGGCUGUUUUCUCUGGAAUGUGACUGUGAGAGCUGCAGGAGUGCCAGGUGUGUGUUCCAGUCCCCAGCAUUUGGUUUGCACCUGUCCUGCUCAGACACAGGUCCAACUUGCUCAGUCCUUAACCCAAGAGAGGGAGAAUGAAGGACUGGCACUGUUAAGGUGUUUGGUGUGACAGGGGUUAAGCUGGGAAAACAUUGGGUGAUUCCUGAGUUUGUCUGUUUGCCAAACUCACCCAAACCUGUGCUAGGGAGAGGUGGACUGGAGUCUCUGAUCCCCUGGGCAGUUGUUCUGCAUGACCUGGAAGCCUCUGGGAUUAGACUGGCCUGGGCAGACAGGGAGCAGUUUGUCCUGUGGAGCUGGGCUGGGUUUGUUCAGGAUGCCUUGGGAGGCAGGGCUGGAGAGGCCCCUCUGUUGGCUGUAGUGCUGGAAGGUUGUAGCAGCAGGGCUGGAGCCUUCGCCCUCCUGCUCCCCCGUGAGCCCCGCCGGGCCCGUGCCCUUGGCAAUGGAGGGCCCCCCAUUGCUGAGCCAGCGGUUCCGGGGCCAGGAGGGAUGGGAUCAGGAUGGGGCUCCACCCAGGGCCAGGGCUGCCAGUGUUCAACCAUGGAGAGAACUGAGAGCAGAGUGAGAUGGAGGCCAAGCUCCAGCACAGGGAUGGGUGAGAAAAGACCCUGGUCCUCAGGUGGAGCUUUGAAUUCCCUGGAAAAAUGGAUCCUGUCAGAUGGUUCAGGCCCUUGUGGGUGCUGGAGCAGAGGCCUCUGUGAUUUAUGGUCACCCUGAAAGGUUGCAAGGAGAGCAAGUUCUGACUGCAGGAUGAGGUGGCAAACAAAGUGCAGUGGUCCAGAGAAAAGCUGAGGCUAAAAUUGGUGCUGUGCCAGAGCAGCCUCGUGCAGUGCUUGUUGCUGUCCCUGAGUGUCCCAUUGCAGGGGAUAUUUCCAAGGGUGCCUUGUGCUGGGGAACACUGGGGGCAGUUCCCUUUCCCUGGGCAGGGCAGGCAGGGCACGUUUCCCCCCUCGAGGGUGGCUCCACAGUCCCCCCCUGUGCCCUGGGAGCGUGGCAGAACACCUGGAGCCACUGUCCUUGUCAGAGAGGGCAGAGGGAUGGUUGGAUGGGGGAGGGAAUGGGUCAGGGAGCACAAGCACCAUUAGAGUGAGUAGUGCAGCACAUGGAAAGGAAGGGGGGAGUUAAUCCAGACAAAAUCCAAGCACCUGCCCAACCUGUGAUAUUUUUAGGAACUCAGAGGUGCUGUGGUCCCCAGGAAGUAUUGCCCAGGACUAGGCAGGAGACUUCAGGCUUGGUCACCCCCAGAGCAAGUCUCCAGGGGCAGGCAGUGGGGAGGCAGCUCUGCUGGUGAGGAUGGGGUUAUUUUCUCUGCUUUAUUUUGUCUCCAGGGAUAUUCUGCCCAUUAAUCCAAACUGACUCCAUCUCUUAACUCUCUGAAGAGGUUUUCUGCUUUUUGUGGGAGGAGUUGAUGUGACUGACUUCUUUUUGCAAUCCAGCAGUGCUCUCAAGGGUAUUUCCCCCCCACUCCUGGGCUUGUGCAGGGCUGUUGAGUCCGUGUGUGCACAAGCACUGUCAGCUUUGCUUCUCUGUUUGCUUGGUUGGCUCCUGUUAGGAGAAGGUUUGUUUCCUCCACUGUAAUAAUUCAGGGAAAUCCUGAGGUAUGAUUUAAGAAAGAAAGUCAUGAACUAUUGCAAUAACUGUGAAUGUGAGAGUGCCUAAAAGCUGUUACUGAAUUCCAUUUCCAGGGACUGUCCUGGUGGGGAUAAUCCAGAAUUGCAGCUUUGAUGUUUAAAAAGGAGCCUGUGGUACUUCUUGUUUCCUGUGCUGGGCUUUCCUUGAACAGUGCCCAGGGAGGGGAGCAGCAACAGCUUCACUUGGAAGUGGACUCUGGUUUUUGAGAACAUCCUAAGCUCAGUGUGGUUUUGGUAUCACUCAGUCCUUAUUUUAUUUGCCAUUUGUCUUAAAUUGUAUACACCUUUGAAGUGCCAGCUGUGUUUUGAAGACAUUCUUCCAGUUGUUUCAAGUGAAAUUUGGAAUGUUACACAUUUAGAAAGAGCUGAUUUUCCUGUGAAUAAACUACUAAAACAAAGGGGGGAGUGAGGAAAGCCAAGCUCAGGAGAUAACCUUACCAACUGGUUUGAAAGUUGUUUACCUAAAUAGCCCAAAUUGGUUUGAGCUGCAGCACAAACGGGGGGAGAAGGAGAGGGUUUGUAUUUUGACAGUUCUUUCAGUUUUUUGCAGGGACUACUGCCAGGUUCUCUUUGAAGUCCCAACCCCAUUAUCAUGGGGAAAUGUGUGUUUGGCUUUAGAAAUAGGAGUGUGUAUUUCCCUUUGAACUAGAGGAAUGUUUCUGUGUCUUUGAAUUUUAAAUUGCACAUGAAGCAGAAAUAUGUUUGUGUUUUACAGGUGAUAUUUUCAUGAAAAUAGAAAUGCAUCAUUGGAUCUCACUCCUCUGAGGGCAAACCACCAGGCUGAUCAUUCCUUAGUCCCUCAAACCCAGUGCCAUGAGCUCAGAGGGGUGUUUGGGUGCAAAUGUGCUGAGUGGUGGUGGCCCCGGGAGAUGGGAGCAGCUGGAAAUGUGUGUGUGUGUGUGCAGAGCUGGGCUGGAGCCCUUGGGAUUUGGCUUCCAGAUCCCCCCCAGCCUUCAGGAAAACCAGAGGCCACCGAACCCUGAGGGAAGGGAGUCCCAUCUGCAGAAGGGUUUUUAGGGUGGGGAAAAGCUCCAGAACAAAGCCUGGGUUCCAAACACCUUCAGCAAAAGUCAAGGAGCACAGACCCUGAAGUCAUCAAGUUCUGGAGUUUGGUUCAAACCAUUUGCUUCUCAGUCAGUUUUAAUGAAGUGUUAAAAGGAGAACUUAAAUAAGGUUAAUUUCUGAUGGAGAACAAUGGGAAGAAGUGAAGUGGUUUAAGUUCACUAAAUGUUUUAUAUCAGUCCAUGGUUAUUUAAUUGAGCAUUGUUUGGAAUUGUUCUUUUUGCAUUUGUUCCUUGUGUGCUUUUCUCUGUCUAAGGGAUGGUUGGAGGUCUUUCUGAUGGGUUGGAUGUUUUUAAUGUCAGUGCUAGACUGGGGUGGACAGUCAUUGGAACAUGAUUGAGAGUUUGAUGCAUUUUAUUCUGUGUGCCCUGUUUGAUGUCUCGUGUUCAGCGAGUGCCUGGGCAGAGUUUGGCCCAAGCCUCUGUUUUUUGGGUGAAAACCCAAAGGGGAAUUGCAGUUGCAGCUUUGGCCUUGAGCUGCAGCUGGAGCCUGGCCAGAGAACAAGGAAAACCUCCCUGGGGAAGGAAGGGGGAGCCAGAGAAGAAAAGCAGCUGCAGCCAGAAAGGUGGGUUUGGGGGGGAGAAGAGCUGCUGGGACCCAGCAAGGGGCUCUGGAGGGCUCUGGGGGCUCUGUAGGGAAUCUGGGUCCCUAUAAUGGCUCUGGGGUCUCUGUAGGGGCUCUGGGGUCCCUAUAAUGGGUCUGGGGUCUCUAUAGGGGCUCUGGGGUCCCUCUCAUGCCCGGGAGCGGAGCUGCUGCCGCCCCAGCAGAGGCCGAGGAGUCGCUGCCCAGCCCCAGAACUCCCUGAGAGCUGAACUGGGGCUGUGUGGGGCCAGAGGGAGCAAAGGGAGGGAUUUGUGCCUAAGAAAAAAAAUAAAGUUUGGGGCAUUUUUGGGGUGAU